AUGUGGGAGGACAGUGAUAAAAGUCGCUGGGACAAGCUAUUAGCACCACUAAGAUGUUCAAUGAAUGGCAAUGUAAUCUUGGUGACAACUAGAAAUCACUCUGUCGUAAAAAUGAUUUCUACUGUGGACCCCCAACAUUUGGAUAGCUUGAAAGAUGAUGACUUUUGGCCUAUGUUCAAGUCAUGUGCAUUUGGUGAUGAGUAUGUGAAGGACAUCCAGGUUUACAGGUUAUUGGACAGCGGAUAG
rnacentral:rRNA from 1 species